AUAUCAAACCAAAACCAGGUAAACAUAAAUACGAAUGUGAUGGUUGAAUUAAAAUUAAAUACACGGGAGUUACAAGAAAUUAUUAAAUGUUGUUAUAUCUUUUGUCUCAAACAAAAAGUGUAAAACUAAUAACUGCCGAAAAAUAUUUCGGAUCCUUACAUCUAACAUGAACAAGGUGCGGGACUGUCGUGAUAUUGUAGGUUACAAUCAUUACAAUAAUUGGGAAGGAUUUGGGGUAGGCUAUGCUGUAUAAAUAGUUGAUUAUUCGAUUAGUUCAUACAUUGUAUAUAUGCUGAAUACGUUUAGAUUAUUGUUAGUAUUGCUGUCUUACACCGAGCAGUAGCCGAAUUGUUAUGGGUUCCAGAUAUCUCAGUGGGCGGUGAGGACUAGUUUGUGUUGCAUGUGGCUUUGGUGGCAUUGUUGCUAGUUUACUCUUGCUAGUUAGCUUGGACCAGAGGAAAACAAAACGAGUUACACGAUACAAAAUGGGUUAACAAAUCUUAAACAGAUAUGGCAAGUUUCUUGUGCAGCUGCGUUUCCAAAACACGCACACGGCCAACAAAAUUCAUCAAUUCGAGUACCUAAAAACUUCUAAAUAAGUCUAUUUGAGCGCCAAAUUCGGUUUUGGUGUCGCACCUGCGUCUGAUCCUAGGGAUUGAAGUAGGUUUAACAAUACUGUUUGAGGACAUUCAAGAGUUUGAGAUUCAUGAUUUUCACAGAUACGGUUCGAUUUGAAUUCGCUUGCGUAAGGAACUAAGGAGAAGUCACAGCGCAGGCGCGACCCCAGUCGUCAUAAUUGACGACUGGCAACGGAAACAGAUCCAGGUCCAGAUCCGUCUGAACCGCCUGCUCCCGGCAACGAGACUCAUAAGCAGGCGGCCGCGGAAAAUGGGCUCUCAAAAUUUGCAUAAGCGAGUAGUCCUAAAGCAUAACUAUCAACUAAUUUGGUAUGUAAAGUCUUUGUGUCUUUUUCUUGGGCUUUAGCGCGAUGAACGUUCGAGGUCCAGUGGCAAUGGCCAACUAGCAACAGUAUGACCAACAUGCCGGCCGAUGCCACAAACUCUGCACCAUACUCACUCGGAUAUGGGAACCGACUCGCUGUGCUCGGUGGCUCGUCUUUGUCUCUAAACUCUCGCUGCUCAUCGUCAUCGUCUUGGGAAGCAUCUAAACAUUGGCUAAGCUUGGCGGGGAUCACUGGUUUGGUGAAGCUGGAAUAAGUGCUGGAUGCCUGCUGUUGUUGGUGCCGUUGGAUCUGCAGCUACCGCUACUGGCGAAGAUCGGUCUCGUGGGUGCGGAUAAGUUACUGGGGUGUGGAUUAAUUUGCUUCUUGAUAAAAUACUUGAAGAGGGGUUUGUUCCUCUUUAGUUACGGUUGAAUCUGCUUCUUGGGUUUUUUUAACUCAGCAUCUUCGUCACGCUUAAUCUCGGUGUACCGCUCGCCCUUGAGCGAAACGAUCUUAUUGUCCCGGUAGCGAACCAGCUUGCGAGGCUCCAUUUUUGGGACCACCGGCUUGUACUCACGCUGGGUGGCGUUCUUGUCAACAUAGGAGUACCUAGAUGGGGUGCUAUAAUAUAUUGCUGUGCCGACUUAA
rnacentral:sRNA from 1 species